AUGGGGGCUCAGUCGGGGCCCCUUCCACAGACAGCCCUGGCCCCUCAGGGUGGAUGGUGAGGCCGCUGCUCCUCCAGCUGCCUCCGUCUCCUCGCAGGCCAGAAGUGGAAAGGGUUUCAAACCCAAGCCUGUGUUCCUGUGUGUGUUCUAUGCAGCAAGGCUUAAAAAUUUCAAGCUGGUUUGGAACUCAACCAGGUCCUCCAAAGGAAACCAAGGCAGGCACAGGAUGGGUGCAGACUGGCUUGGCAGGCAAAUGUGCCGAUCCACCCAGAGUGCCUUGGGAGGCAGUGGGGUUGGCUCUGGCUCCUGUGAACUGCAGCCAGGCCUCUCCCGGUCCCGGUACCCAGGGUCCGGAAGGAGGACUUCUACACAUUUUAUCACCCAGGGACUGCGAAGGCCUGGAGCCCUACCUUCCACCCAUUAACAAAGAAAAGGAUAGUUUCAGAACUGCUUUUAUUUGGAUAACUGACUGA